rnacentral:lncRNA from 1 species
AAUUUAAUUAGUAUUUAUUUGAGUUAAAAAUUUAAAUUAAACUUAGAUCAGAAUCUUAAUUAGAUUAGGAUUGAAAGGCUCUUCGAAUCUGAUGCGAAUCAGAUUCGAAUCAGAUUCGAAUCGAGUCAAAUCUGAGUCUUUUUGGUUUAGAACCAAAAAGUUCCUAAAAUCAGGGACUCUUUUUCAUGAUUGCCGACCAA